rnacentral:rRNA from 1 species
UACAGGGGGUGCAAACGUUGCUCGGAAUUAUUGGGCGUAAAGCGCGCGUAGGCGGCUACUUAUGUCGGAUGCGAAAGCCCUUGGCUCAACUGAGGAAGUGCACCCGAAACUGAGUAGCUGGAGUACGAAAGAGGGUCGCGGAAUUCCCGGUGUAGAGGUGAAAUUCGUAGAUAUCAGGAGGAACACCGGUGGCGAAGGCGGGUCUCUGGGCCGAUACUGACGCUGAGGAGCGAAAGCGUGGGGAGCGAACAGG